AUUGAACGCUGGCGGCAGGCCUAACACAUGCAAGUCGAGCGGAGCGGCGGACGGGGGAGUAAUGCCUAGGAAUCUGCCUGGGAGUGGGGGCUAACGUCCGGACACGGGCGCUAAUACAGCAUACUAUCAGAUGAGCCUAGGUCGGAUGAGCUAGUUGGUGGGGUAAAGACCUACAAAGGCGACGAUCCGUAACUGGUCUGAGAGGAUGAUCAGUCAAACUGGAACUGAGACACGGUGCAGACGCCUACGGUCGGCAGCAGUGGGUAAUAGUGGACAAUGGGCGAAAGCCUGAUCCAGCAGUGCCGCGUGUGUGAAGAAGGUCUUCGGAUGUUAAAGCACUUUUAGUUGUGAGGCGUUACCAACAGAAUAAGCACCGGCUAACUUCGUGCCAGCCGCCGCGGUAAUAC
rnacentral:rRNA from 1 species